AGGGCACCACCAGGAGUGGAGCCUGCGGCUUAAUUUGACUCAACACGGGAAAACUCACCCGGCCCGGACACUGUAAGGAUUGACAGACUGAGAGCUCUUUCUUAAUUCGGUGGGUGGUGGUGCAUGGCCGUUCUUAGUUGGUGGAGCGAUUUGUCUGGUUAAUUCCGAUAACGAACGAGACUCUGGCCUAUUAAAUAGACGGUGUAUCUUGAAGUAUACCGCGCUUCUUAGAGGGACAAGCGGGCGUCUAGCCGCAUGAAAAUAGAGCAAAUAACAGGUCUGUGAUGCCCCUUAGAUGUCGGGGGCUGCCACGCGCGCCUACACUUGAAAAGAAUCAGCCGUGCGAAUAGCCCUGGUUUCGGAAAGAAUCGGGUUAACCCCAAGUAAUUCCUUUCGUGCUUGGGAUAAGGGAUUUGACAUUUAUUUUCCCUUAACCAGAGGAAUCCCAGAGUAAUUCGCGGUCAUAUAGCCUCCGCGGUGUGAUAUACUGUCCCUGCGCCUUUGUGAACACACCGCGCC
rnacentral:rRNA from 1 species